rnacentral:rRNA from 1 species
UACGGAGGGUGCAAGCGUUAUCCGGAUUCACUGGGUUUAAAGGGAGCGUAGGUGGGUUGGUAAGUCAGUGGUGAAAUCCCCGAGCUUAACUUGGGAACUGCCAUUGAUACUAUCAGUCUUGAAUACUGUGGAGGUUAGCGGAAUAUGUCAUGUAGCGGUGAAAUGCUUAGAUAUGACAUAGAACACCAAUUGCGAAGGCAGCUGGCUACACAAUUAUUGACACUGAGGCUACGAAAGCGUGGGGAUCAAACAGG